rnacentral:rRNA from 1 species
AGAGUUUGAUUAUGGCUCAGGAUGAACGCUGGCGGCGUGCUUAACACAUGCAAGUCGAACGGAGUUUUUAAACGGAAGUUUUCGGAUGGAAGUUUAGAAACUUAGUGGCGGACGGGUGAGUAACGCGUGGGUAACCUGCCUCAUACAGGGGGAUAACAGUUAGAAAUGACUGCUAACACCGCAUAAUAUAGCGAAACCGCAUGAUUUUGCUAUCAAAUAUUUAUAGGUAUGAGAUGGGCCCGCGUCUGAUUAGCUAGUUGGUGGGGUAAAAGCCUACCAAGGCGACGAUCAGUAGCCGGCUUGAGAGAGUGACCGGCCACAUUGGGACUGAGACACGGCCCAAACUCCUACGGGAGGCAGCAGUGGGGAAUAUUGGACAAUGGGGGAAACCCUGAUCCAGCCGACGCCGCGUGAGUGAAGAAGUAUUUCGGUAUGUAAGGCUCUAUCAGCAGGGAAGAUAAUGACGGUACCUGACUAAGAAGCCCCGGCUAACUACGUGCCAGCAGCCGC